AAAUAUCGCCCAAACAAUCUGCUGGUUAGCAGACCCAGCUGUGUUCAUUCUUACUGUGCGGGGAGCAGGGAGGAGAGUCAGAGGAAGGAGGCCAACGCCGGGAUCCUCACCGAGAUUCUGAAGGCUGGUUGAGGAUCUGAUCCCUAUUUCCAAGACCAGAGGAUAUCCCUAAGCUUUUCCUGUUGCUUUUGAGGAUUAGAACCGUCUCAUUUUCAGACCUUGAGAAGUCAAGACCCUUGUGACUCAAAAUGAAUUUACACCUGUUACAUUUGAAUUAGACGUUUGGAAACUGGCUCAGAGAGUGCGGGUUUCUCCUGAUGAGUGGAUACGCACCGCCAUCUAGUGGCUCCCCGAACAAACUGCCCGUGGUCCGGAACAGUUUCUUCAGAAGAAGACUGCUCCAUGCCCACCAGUGUUCAAGGAGCUUUGUGGAGUGAGGAAAUGAGAGGUGCUCACUUUUCCUGUAAAUCUAAAAGUGUUCUAAAGAUGAAAAUCUUUUCAUUUAAAAAGUAACUAUUCAGAAAAUGAAAAGACAAGCAUAUGCUGGUAGAAAAUGUUUUUGAAGCAUAUCUGCUAAAGGAUUGAUAUCCAGAAUACAUAAAGAACUUUGACAAUUCAAUAUUAAGAAGAUAAACUGAGUUUUUUUUUUAAAAAAGACAAAUGAUUUGAACAGACAUGUCACUAAAGAAGAGGUACAAAUGACAAAUAAGCACGUGAAAAAAUGAUUAUCAUAUCAUCUGUUGUCAUUGGUAAAUGCAAAUUAAACUACGCUGAAUUCCCACCGCUGGAAUCAUUGCUAUUUAAAAGAGGAA